AAAGAUCUUCAUUUAAAAGAAAGAGUCACGACUUUAGAAAACCUGAACAGUUAUAAAACGCUUCAGAUCGUAGCUGCAAUUGUUGAAUUUAUUAAGACAUUAAAACCGACAGGAUGAAAGCCAUUAUCACCGCUGCUGUAGCUGUAGCCACAAUCUGCUACUUCUUUGUUGCCGUGAGUGCCAAUCCCAUAGUAGGCAUAUGUACAAUUAUUUGUAUCGUUGACCCAUGUUGUUAGUUGUGUUCAAGUAGGAGGAAAUCAAAGGUAUGAUGGAACGGAAGUAAUGUCAGAACAACUAACAUAACAUGUCAACUUAAGAUGUAGUGUUUUCAUGUGAAUGUUAAACAAAACA